UAAACAAUUCCUGUUUGGACAAGUCAUUUUCUAGAACUUGGUUUUCUUAACAGUAAAAUCUUAGAUAGAAAAAGACACAUUAAUGUCCCUUCUAGCAUGAAGGUAAUCACCUUCUUUUGAACUAAACAGAAUUAUAUUUUCAAAUCCUUUUGUUAACUGUCAUUCAUUUGUACUUUAUAAUUUGUACUUGACUGACCUAUGUUAAAGAUGUUAUAACUACAGUCUUUUGUGCUAAUAUAAAUUAGUCCAGGCCUCCAAAGCAGAUUCCAAAUGGUCUAUACAUUGUUCUGUUAUUUUAUAUAAGUUAAUUAAAAAGGUUACCACUGUUUUUUUUAUUUUGUAGCUACCAGGUGCAGGGUACUGAAACAUUUGAAAGUAGAAAAUGCACCAAUUGUCAACCGAUUUGACUAUGCACAAUGCAAGAAACUAAAUAUGGAUCAGGUACUAGACCAGAUACUAAGGAUGCCUCCUGAGAGAAACCGUAUCAUAUACCUACGCCCAAUGCAGCAGGUAGACACACUAACUUUGGAGCAGAAGCUGUUUAGUGGCCCCUACCCCUAUCACAUCUGCAUCAUCCAUGAAUUCAGUAACCCUCCUAAUGUCCGCAAUAAAGUGCGCAUUCGCAGCUGGAUGGACACUAUAGCAAACAUCAAUCAGUAAGUAAUUCUGUGGCCUCGAAAGGCCUUUUUAGUCAAUUGUCAUAGCUGGGGCUCCCAAAAGCAAAUCCUAAUUGUUC